CUUGUCAAUCUCAUUAGAGAUACAGUGUGUUUGGAGAAGUAAACUGAACUUCCAGGGACCAAAUUGUAAUAUAUUGAUAUAGCACACAAGAUUUUGCUGAUUUCGUACUUUUCUGUCAAAGCUUCACGAAGUCUGUGAAAAAAAUGGCAACCUUACAUCCCUGUCCCUGGAGCAAAAGGAUGCCAUUAAUACGCUGGCCAUUGAAAUGGAUUAUCCAAUAUUGAAAGAGGCCAACCGCUCUUGGCUGCUGCACAAUAUACUCCAGGAUGUGGUUUUUGGACGGAUAAAAAAGCAGCUCAAGCAGCUCAAAGAAGGUCUGAAAGAGACCAAUGUUCUUAACUGGAUGGAAGCAAGACCUGAUGCUGUCAAAGAAGUGUUCCCAUCGCAGGCAGAGGCUACAUGUAGUCCAGAGGUAUUAACUCUAAUUUUUCUACUUAUGUGUAAUAUUACAAUUACUAUUUAAUCAUUACAGAUAUAUUAAGUGCUAAUGAAUUGUAUGAAUAACAAAAUCGAAACGGUAGUAAGUAAUGCUCAUUCUGUUUUCUUUGGUUGUUGUAGGUUGUUCUAGAAUUAAUUCAGUGGCCCCAAGAAGUUGAGGGCCAGGAACAAAAUAGAAUAAAGGAGUUCCUCUUACAGUUCAUCCGCACAGGUAUGAUUACAGCAUGUUGAUGUUCCAACCACGUUAUGAAGUUAAUGAACUGCCACAACAUGAGGAAAAUCUGUAGAGUACUGUUAGCUUUGUGUUAUUAGACUACUGUCUCUUGCCACACUGUCCAGUGUCCUGCAACACUGCCUCAUGCUACUUGUCAGCUGUCUCUAGACACUGCCCUGUGCCGCUCACUGUGGCUCUGCCACAGUGAGCGGCACCAUUUGUGCCAUUUGCACACUGCCCCUGCUACACAUUAGAACUUAGAUCGGGCCCAAAAAAUCAAGCCUGACCCUAGCCCGUUGCACGUUGUGUCCGAGACCGGCCCGGCCCGACACAUUAACUGUAAUUAUGAGCAUAAGCCUGAUUUAAACACAACAAUUUUAUUAAUACGUGGGUUGUUAUAACUGACAAUCUUAACUAAAAUUCAGUUGUUUGAAAAACAGAAAUGUGUUUAGAAUUAUCUUAAUGAACGAAGAAUGUUGUCACUGCCCACGACUUGGUUAAAAAUGGUUCCAUACCUUCGACUUUCCUCCAAACUUGUUUGAAGUUAAUUCUCCUGUUUUUAUUUCUUUCUUUACAUCUUCAAGCUCCAUGUUGCACUUAAGCUACUAGCACACACUAUACAGCACAGCAUGCCGGCCUAGUGUGAUCAUGCGUGCGAGUGUUGGAGACGUUGUGUGCUGCAAGUGCUGCGGUUUUUUUAACUGUAGCGAACUUGUGCAAUUCUGACUAAAAUAUUAUGCAACGAGUAAUAAAUAAUAAAUAAUGCAACGCGUUAUUAAGGAAUUUGUGUUUUAUUCGUGUUUUUAACAUGCAGUCUCCCAGGACAAGCUUAAAGAGCUACUUAAGUUCUGGGUCGGGUGGGAGAUCCCGAUGUGUGACAUGAAGGUGGAGGUGGUGGAUAACCCUUACCCAGGGGCAUCCACGUGCUUCCGCACACUCCGCCUACCGUCUCACUAUGAGACCUAUGACGAAUUUAGUCAAAGCUUGGAAAUGUGCGUUGGCACCGUUGAGUACGGGUUCGGGUUACUAUGAUGAGUCUGAGUGUAUUAGCAGUGACUGCUCAAGUGCUGUUGCACACAAAAAGUCACAUUUGUUAAAUUCAUUGCAAGUUUUCAUUGUUUAAUUGUUUUCAUUGUUUGUUCAUUGUACUCAUUCCUGCACAGUAAAAGUGUGAAACUGCAGUGUAACCGUGUGGUGAUUUAAGGGAAGCACGCAUGUAGAC
ensembl:lncRNA